rnacentral:rRNA from 1 species
UACGGAGGGUGCAAGCGUUAUCCGGAUUCACUGGGGUUAAAGGGUGCGUAGGCGGCUAUGUAAGUCCGUGGUGAAAUCUCUGGGCUUAACCCGGAAACUGCCAUGGAUACUAUGUGUCUUGAAUGUUGUUGAGGUGAGCGGAAUAUGUCAUGUAGCGGUGAAAUGCUUAGAUAUGACAUAGAACACCAAUUGCGAAGGCAGCUCACUAAGCAAAUAUUGACGCUGAGGCACGAAAGCGUGGGGAUCAAACAGG